rnacentral:rRNA from 1 species
CCCCUAGACGUUCUGGGCUGCACGCGCGCUACAAUAAUACGCACAGCGAGUAUCACCGAGCUCGAAAGGGCAAGGUAAACAAUAGAAAGGUACUGUAAUGGUUAUAGAUCCUUGUAAUUAUUGAUCUUCAACGAGGAAUUCCUAGUAAGUAUGUGUCAUCAUCACGCACUGAUUACGUCCCUGCCCUUUGUACACACCGCCCGUCGCUCCUACCGAUUGGGUGAGCCGAUGAAACUCUCGGAUGUAGGCUAUUCAUAGCCCGCAGAAGAGAUUUGAAUCGUAGCGCUUAGAGGAAGGAGAAGUCGUAACA